rnacentral:rRNA from 1 species
UCAAAAACAUCUUUUCUUGUUAGUUUCUGAAGUAUGGCCUGCCCGCUGACGUAUAUUUAAGUUGAAGGGCCGCGGUAUUUUGACCGUGCAAAGGUAGCAUAGUCAUUAGUUCUUUAAUUGUGAUCUGGUAUGAAUGGCUUGACGAGACAUGGGCUGUCUUAAGGUGUGGAAUUUGUUGUUGAAUUUUGAGUUUGAGUUAAAAUUCUUAGAUGUUUUUAUGGGACGAGAAGACCCUAUAGAGUUUGACAUUUGAUUACGUAUUUCUUGUUGUUUGUUUUAAAUUUUUGCGUGUCUACUUGUUUUGUUGGGGUGAUGGGAGGAAUUUAUUUAA